rnacentral:rRNA from 1 species
AGUGAACGCUGGCGGUAGGCCUAACACAUGCAAGUCGAACGGCAGCACAGUAAGAUCUUGCUCUUACGGGUGGCGAGUGGCGGACGGGUGACGCAUACAUAAGAAUCUUCUUUUUCGUGGGGGAUAUCGUAGGGAAACUUACGCUAAUACCGCAUACGACCUACGGGUGAAAGCAGGGGAUCUUCGGACCUUUCGCGAUUGAAUGAGCCGAUGUCGGAUUAGCUAGUUGGCUGGGUAAAGGCACACCAAGGCGACGAUACGUAGCUGGUCUGAGAGGAUGAUCGGCCACACUGGAACUGAGACACGGUCCAGACUCCUACGGGAGGCAGCAGUGGGGAAUAUUGGACAAUGGGCGCAAGCCUGAUCCAGCCAUACCGCGUGGGUGAAGAAGGCCUUCGGGUUGUAAAGCCCUUUUAUUGGGAAAGAAAAGCAGCAGGUUAAUACCCCGCUGUUCUGACGGUACCCAAAGAAUAAGCACCGGCUAACUUCGUG